CCGGACCUGACUGCUAUCGGAUUGGUACUAAGCCAUGCGAGUCGUUGUAGCAAUACAAGGCGGACGGCUCAGUAACACGUAGUCAACCUAACCUAUGGACGUGGAUAACCUCGGGAAACUGAGAAUAAACCGCGAUAGAUCAUAAUGCCUGGAAUGGCUUAUGGUUAAAAUAAUUUAUUGCCGUAGGAUGGGACUGCGGCCUAUCAGCUUGUUGGUGAGGUAAUGGCCCACCAAGGCUAUAACAGGUACGGGCUCUGAGAGGAGAAGCCCGGAGAUGGGUACUGAGACACGGACCCAGGCCCUAUGGGGCGCAGCAGGCGGGAAACCUUAGCAAUGUGCGAAAGCACGGCUAGGUUAAUCCGAGUGAUUUCUGUUGAAGAAAUCUUUUGUCAGUCGUAAAACCACAGACGAAUAAGGGGUUGGCAAGUCUGGUGUCAGCCGCCGCGGUAAUACCAGCACCUCGAGUGGUCAGGAGGUUUAUUGGGCCUAAAGCAUCCGUAGCCGGCUAUGCAAGUCUCCGGUUAAAUCCAACUGCUCAACAGAUGGGCUGCCGGAGAUACUACACAGCUAGGGAGCGGGAGAGGUAGACGGUAUUCUGUGGGUAGGGGUAAAAUCCACUGAUCCAUAGAGGACCACCAGUGGCGAAGGCGGUCUACCAGAACGCGUUCGACGGUGAGGGAUGAAAGCUGGGGGAGCAAACCGGAUUAGAUACCCGGGUAGUCCCAGCUGUAAACGAUGCAAACUCGGUGAUGCAUUGACUUAUGGUCAAUGCAGUGCCGCAGGGAAGCCGUUAAGUUUGCCGCCUGGGAAGUACGGACGCAAGUCUGAAACUUAAAGGAAUUGGCGGGGGAGCACCACAAGGGGUGAAGCCUGCGGUUCAAUUGGAUUCAACGCCGG
rnacentral:rRNA from 1 species